CCCAUUUAAUAUGACAUUUUUCCACAUAAGUGCAAAAAGAGAUAAGGCUUACGAUGCAGAAAUGAGCUGCAAACAGUAAGGGAAGUUUUUUGACUUUCUUUUUCAAAGAACUGAUCCUUUUUUAAAAUAAUUCCUAAUCGUUCUCCCCUCCUUUCCUUUCAGUUAUUGCCUUCUUACAGUACGUUAACAGACAUUAGAUUAUGAAUCAAAAUGAAUCUGUGGCCAUUAUAAAGCCUGUUUUAUUCCUGCCCAGCCCAAAAACAGUAAACUUCAAAGUUUAGAGCAAGCAGUAAUAAACAAUAAAUGAAUACCUGAGAGAUGAACAAGGUUCUGUUAUUCUACUGCCAGUGUCGUCUGCUUGAGUAUUGAAGCUGAGAGGGCUGAUGACGAAAUCAGAAGAAGACCAAGGAGAGGAGACAGACGGAAACAUUUAAAGCUCAGAGGAGGAAACACCCCAGCAACACUGGACACCUCACUUCUUUGCAGGGGAGGACUGCCUUGUAAACUGGGUGGAGAACAGCUGUGAUUGAUGCACGUGGUUAUGAAAGGGCAGCACUUUGAUGAGAUGUGAGGCUCAGAUGUCCAACAUUCAGUAGGAAGAAGGAACGCUUUGCCAGAAGGGGCUCAAAUCUCAACAACAGCUUACGUUUAUGACCAGGAGUUGGAUUCAGUUACCGGUAGAUGUUUGCCAGAUCAGAGAAAUUACCAUCCGGAGUGAUGAACCCAUG
rnacentral:lncRNA from 1 species